GGAGAGGUGACCGAGCUGGCUGAAGGUGCACGCCUGGAAAGCGUGUGUACCCUAACCGGGUACCGGGGGUUCGAAUCCCCCCCUCUCCGCCA
rnacentral:tRNA from 1 species